UUGAUUUCCAUUUCCUUUUCCCAUGUAUGACACCUUGCAUCUGCCAGAGAAUUGAACAUAUACUGAAGCAAGUUCUUCGCAUCUCCCAUUGAACGUAGCUGAUUCCAACGUCCACGGUUGGUGAAUGCACGUUCCCGUUCUUCUGCUUCUGAAAGUUGUGAAGCCAUUGCAACAAGUGAAUUAGAUGAUAUGCUUAACAUGUUCUCAAGUGAAGAUAUUCUGGACAGUCUUGCAUUUGGAGACAUGGAAGAAGCCCUAGCAAAUCCAUUCUUUCCUCUUGGAGGGCUUAGCCCCUUUGAGGCAAACUCAUCUACUUGCUUCAACACAGCUAACUCUUCUCCAAGUGCAGCUCUUACUUGGCUUUGUUUCUCAUAUUCAAAACGAACUUCAUGCACAUUCACCAUGACUUCUAGCUCAUGAUCAACCCAACGUUGUAAGGAUUUCUCAUUGCUCUGUCCAUUUGUUCCAUUUCCAUUGGCAAUAGCUGGAAGAUGGCAUGCUAUUAGCAAUUUGAUAUAAAAACGGAAAAGAGCCACCAAGCGAACACCCCAUGCUUUCAAAAAAGAAAAUAAAUCUAGCAGAAGGCAUUUAGUAACUGAUAUUGAUUUCAUAAGUAUUGAUGAUGAAAAAUGUUGAAUAUAUUUAUGACCCAAAUGAGUGGACAUGUACUUAUUGAAAACAUGGGAUGUCCAGAUCAGCAGCCUUAAGGAUAUCAUACAACUGAAAAUAAUAAACAAACCUGAGUUAUCACGGGCAGUAGAUUUACGGGCUUCAAGCAACUCCUUCAACCUCUUAGUGGCCAUUGCAGCCUCUUCUGUCUUUCUCUGAAGAACCAUUUUUUGGCGCUGGUUUAAAGCUUGUAGCUUAUGCCUUUCAUAUUCAUUUCUUCUCCCUUCCUUUCGCAACUGCAGCAGUUCCUUUUCCCGAGAGGCUUUCCACUGUCGAAACUGUUCUGCCUCUUGUUUGAUCUUAUGUUGCAAUUGAACCUUUUGUGCCUUUAUAGAUUGAAUUUCAUCCUGUAAUCUCUUCGCUGCUUCAUCACUCUUCUGUUUUUGCUUUAAAAGCUGCACCUGGCUCUCUUGUUUUUUCUUAAGAUCGAGAAUCUGCGUCUCAAGUGCUUUCAAUUUCUGGGCAUGGAUAUCUUGCAUUUUUUGUGUCUGCCCAUCAGAAGUAGCCGAGAGAUUUUCAAUUUCAGCCAACAAACGAUCCCUCUCUUGCUGCACAGCUUUCUUUUCAUCCUCUAGUUCCAUAAUUUUUUGGCCAAAGUGUUGCUUGAGAACUGCAGUGUCAACCCCUCCAAAAAGUUUCAUCUCAGAUUCUUUCUCCUCCAAACGCCUGUUCAAUUCAUGCAACUCCUUGUCCAUUGUAUUCUGCAGAAAGGUGUGCUCCCACUCUUUUUCUACCUCUUCAUCUAUUUCCUUAGAAUCACCUGCCAAAAUUAGCAGUCAGAGUUCAAAUAAAAUUGUCACAACCAAAGUAAAACUGAAUUGGAUCAGCCAAAAAGAAAAAAGGCUAAGGGCAAAACGCACCUGCCAGAAACCAACAAGGAUACAAGAGCGAGUAGUAGAAAGUAGGAGUUUACCUGAGAUGGUUUCUCCCAUUUGAUAAUCUGUUGACUCUAUACUAUGCAGACUCCUUUUAAGCCCAUCGCUUUUUACAUAACAGGUGCUACCAUCUUGAGCAUCUGUUUCGCGUUGGUCUACUGCAGUGCAUCU
rnacentral:misc_RNA from 1 species